GAUGAAUGCUGGCGGCGUGCCUAAUACAUGCAAGUCGAGCGAACAGACAAGGAGCUUGCUCCUUUGACGUUAGCGGCGGACGGGUGAGUAACACGUGGGUAACCUACCUAUAAGACUGGGAUAACUUCGGGAAACCGGAGCUAAUACCGGAUAAUAUUUCGAACCGCAUGGUUCGAUAGUGAAAGAUGGUUUUGCUAUCACUUAUAGAUGGACCCGCGCCGUAUUAGCUAGUUGGUAAGGUAACGGCUUACCAAGGCGACGAUACGUAGCCGACCUGAGAGGGUGAUCGGCCACACUGGAACUGAGACACGGUCCAGACUCCUACGGGAGGCAGCAGUAGGGAAUCUUCCGCAAUGGGCGAAAGCCUGACGGAGCAACGCCGCGUGAGUGAUGAAGGUCUUCGGAUCGUAAAACUCUGUUAUUAGGGAAGAACAUACGUGUAAGUAACUAUGCACGUCUUGACGGUACCUAAUCAGAAAGCCACGGCUAACUACGUGCCAGCAGCCGCGGUAAUACGUAGGUGGCAAGCGUUAUCCGGAAUUAUUGGGCGUAAAGCGCGCGUAGCGGUUUUUUAAGUCUGAUGUGAAAGCCCACGGCUCAACCGUGGAGGGUCAUUGGAAACUGUAAAACUUGAGUGCAGAAGAGGAAAGUGGAAUUCCAUGUGUAGCGGUGAAAUGCGCAGAGAUAUGGAGGAACACCAGUGGCGAAGGCGACUUUCUGGUCUGUAACUGACGCUGAUGUGCGAAAGCGUGGGGAUCAAACAGGAUUAGAUACCCUGGUAGUCCACGCCGUAAACGAUGAGUGCUAAGUGUUAGGGGGUUUCCGCCCCUUAGUGCUGCAGCUAACGCAUUAAGCACUCCGCCUGGGGAGUACGACCGCAAGGUUGAAACUCAAAGGAAUUGACGGGGACCCGCACAAGCGGUGGAGCAUGUGGUUUAAUUCGAAGCAACGCGAAGAACCUUACCAAAUCUUGACAUCCUUUGACAACUCUAGAGAUAGAGCCUUCCCCUUCGGGGGACAAAGUGACAGGUGGUGCAUGGUUGUCGUCAGCUCGUGUCGUGAGAUGUUGGGUUAAGUCCCGCAACGAGCGCAACCCUUAAGCUUAGUUGCCAUCAUUAAGUUGGGCACUCUAAGUUGACUGCCGGUGACAAACCGGGGGAAGGUGGGGAUGACGUCAAAUCAUCAUGCCCCUUAUGAUUUGGGCUACACACGUGCUACAAUGGACAAUACAAAGGGCAGCGAAACCGCGAGGUCAAGCAAAUCCCAUAAAGUUGUUCUCAGUUCGGAUUGUAGUCUGCAACUCGACUACAUGAAGCUGGAAUCGCUAGUAAUCGUAGAUCAGCAUGCUACGGUGAAUACGUUCCCGGGUCU
rnacentral:rRNA from 1 species